CCUACGGGAGGCAGCAGUGGGGAAUCUUGCGCAAUGGGCGAAAGCCUGACGCAGCCAUGCCGCGUGAAUGAUGAAGGUCUUAGGAUUGUAAAAUUCUUUCACCGAGGACGAUAAUGACGGUACUCGGAGAAGAAGCCCCGGCUAACUUCGUGCCAGCAGCCGCGGUAAUACGAAGGGGGCUAGCGUUGCUCGGAAUUACUGGGCGUAAAGGGAGCGUAGGCGGAUAGUUUAGUCAGAGGUGAAAGCCCAGGGCUCAACCUUGGAAUUGCCUUUGAUACUGGCUAUCUUGAGUACGGAAGAGGUAUGUGGAACUCCGAGUGUAGAGGUGAAAUUCGUAGAUAUUCGGAAGAACACCAGUGGCGAAGGCGACAUACUGGUCCGUUACUGACGCUGAGGCUCGAAAGCGUGGGGAGCAAACAGGAUUAGAUACCCUGGUAGUCCACGCUGUAAACGAUGAGUGCUAGUUGUCGGCAUGCAUGCAUGUCGGUGACGCAGCUACGACAUAAGACACUCCGCCGUCGGGGAGGUACGGUCGGCGAAGAAGUUAAACGUAACAAUAGAAGUUAGUACGGCGUGAGACGUGACCGACGGACGACGACGAGGGAGGAGG
rnacentral:rRNA from 1 species